rnacentral:rRNA from 1 species
AUAAAAGUCGUAACAAGGUUUCCGUAGGUGAACCUGCGGAAGGAUCAUUAUUGAAUAAACUUGAACAGGCUGUUGCUGGUCUCCCUUGCGAGAGGGGGGCAUGUGCACGCUUGUCAUCUUUAUCUCUCCAACUGUGCACAUAUUGUAGACCUGGAGUUGUCUUUGUUGAUUCAUUCGAGUUGGCACUGCAGUGCUUCUUACAAACAAAAAAAAAAAGUCUGCUCUGCCUUUUGCAUUUCCAGGUCUAUGUCAUUUUCACAACCUCAAUGUGUUUAGAAUGUUGAAUCAGGUCCUUUUUGUACCUAUAAAGUUAAAUAUACAACUUUCAGCAACGGAUCUCUUGGCUCUCGCAUCGAUGAAGAACGCAGCGAAAUGCGAUAAGUAAUGUGAAUUGCAGAAUUCAGUGAAUCAUCGAAUCUUUGAACGCAUCUUGCGCUCCUUGGUAUUCCGAGGAGCAUGCCUGUUUGAGUGUCAUUUCAAGUUCUCAACCGCAUCAAUUUCUCGUUGAUGUGGCUUGGAUGUGGGGGAUUGCAGGCUUCUGUCAAAGGAGGUCGGCUCCCCUGAAAAACAUUAGUGGUAUCUGAGCAGAAGAAACUACUACAGGUGUGAUAAUUAUCUAUGCCUUUCAGUAUGCUGCAUAAAAACAGAUUGCACUGCUUCUAACUAGUGAAAACCUCUCUACAAAGGAGGGGCCACGUUUGACGAAUUUGACCUCAAAUCAGGUAGGACUACCCGCUGAACUUAAGCAUAUCAAUAAGCGGAGGAAAAGAAACUAACAAGGAUUCCCCUAGUAACUGCGAGUGAAGCGGGAAAAGCUCAAAUUUGAAAUCUGGCGGUUUUUUGACUGUCCGAGUUGUAAUCUAGAGAAGUGUUACCUGUGCUGAACCGUGUACAAGUCUUCUGGAAUGGAGCAUCAUAGAGGGUGAGAAUCCCGUCUUUGACAUGGACUACCAGUACAUUAUGGUGCGCUCUCGAAGAGUCGAGUUGUUUGGGAAUGCAGCUCAAAAUGGGUGGUAAAUGCCAUCUAAAGCUAAAUAUUGGCGAGAGACCGAUAGCGAACAAGUACCGUGAGGGAAAGAUGAAAAGAACUUUGGAAAGAGAGUUAAACAGUACGUGAAAUUGCUGAAAGGGAAACGCUUGAAGUCAGUCACGUUGGCUAGAAAUCAGCCCUGCUCUUGCUCGGUGUACUUUCUGGUUGAUGGGUCAGCAUCAAUUUCGACCAUUGGAUAAAGUCUCUGGGAAUGUGGCAUCUUCGGAUGUGUUAUAGCCCAGGGUCGCAUGCAGUGGUUGGGAUUGAGGAACUCAGCACGCCGCAAGGCCGGGUUUCGACCACGUUCGUGCUUAGGAUGCUGGCAUAAUGGCUUUAAUCGACCCGUCUUGAAACACGGACCAAGGAGUCUAACAUGCCUGCGAGUGUUUGGGUGGAAAAACCCAUGCGCGGAAUGAAAGUGAAAGUUGAGAUCCCCCUCAAAAGGGAGCAUUGACGCCCGGACCAGAGCUUUUGUGACGGAUCCGCGGUAGAGCAUGUAUGUUGGGACCCGAAAGAUGGUGAACUAUGCCUGAAUAGGGUGAAGCCAGAGGAAACUCUGGUGGAGGCUCGUAGCGAUUCUGACGUGCAAAUCGAUCGUCAAAUUUGGGUAUAGGGGCGAAAGACUAAUCGAAC